rnacentral:lncRNA from 1 species
GGCCACACCCACAGUAUAUGGAGGUUCCCAGGCUAGGGGUUGAAUCAGAUCUGGAGCUGCUGGCCUACACCACAGCCACAGCAAUAGCAAUGCAGGAUCCAAGCCUCGUCUGCAACCUUACAGCUCACAGCAGCACUGGAUCCUUCAUCUACUGAGUGAGGCCAUGGAUUGAACCUGUGUGCUCAUGGAUGCUAGUCAGAUUCAUUUCCACCAAGCCAUGACAGGAACUCCUAAAAUUGAAUUUUAUAAAAAGGAAAGAGAAGGGAAGAUGCUUGCCCCUAACCAGUAUCAAAACCCCCAAGAUGAUUUACAGAAGAAGAAACAGAGUUGGACAACUAAUAGGUAAAAAUAAAGUUUCACUCUUACUAAAAAUUAGAUAAAUAUACAUUGAAAUGAAAUUAAAACAAUGAAAUGCACUUUUCACUAGCAGAACGGCAAAAAAAAAUAGGUCUCUGGUAAUAUCAAAUGAUGGAGAGUGUGAAGAAGUGAAUAGUAUCCUACACUACCAGUAGGAAAGUGAACUUUUACAGGCACUUUGAGAACAAUCGUUAUUGUUAACAGUGAAAAUCAUUUAGAUCCUAUUUUUCUAGUAGUUUUGCUUCUCAAUAAGAGAAACUGUUGUACAAGAGCCUGAGAAGACAUAUAGAAAGAUGCUCUUGGUAACAGUGCUCAUUUAGAGGAGGAGAAAACAAAACACACCUGGAAGUCCAUCAAUAGACUCAGUAAACAACAGUGUGUCUAUUCCAGGGUCUAUUUGGCACCAGAUGAAAGUGUGAAAGAGAUGUCUACUGUCAUGAAAGGAUACCCAAAACAUAGUAGGUGGGGAAAUAAUGUUGCAAAACUAUACAUAAAGUAUAAAUAUGGAAGAAUACUUAGAAAUACUCAUCUAAGGGUAUUUGACUCUGAUACAGAGAACAAGAAAAAAUGAAUGAGAUAGGUAGAUUUAUCAGAUGUGUUGGGGAGAGACAGUAAAUCAGUAAGCAAUCCAUGACUCAUGGUCCCAUAGAAGGAAUAAAUUCACAGAACAAAUCUAGCACAUGUGGUUAGAACACAAAUAAAAAAGGAUAGGAGUUCUCCUGUGGUACAGUGGGUUAAGGAUUCCGUGUUGUCACUGCAGUGGCUUGGGUUUCUGCUGUGGCACAGGUUUGAUCUCUGGCUCGGGAACUUCCACACGCCAUGGGUGUGGUCAAAAAAAAAAAAAAAAAAAGAACAUAUGAAGUGUCUUCCUAGAGAUAAAAGGGAAUGGAAUGACCAAGUGGAAUUAAAUAUUUAUAAGGCACAGAUUAUGUCAUCUCCAGAUUGACAGUCCUCAUCUAUGAUCUCCUUAAAUCAACCCACUGGCAACUCCCACUCUCUGUCUGAGACACGCAGGUAAAAGUCAUGGCUGCUCAUUAGGUUAGAGGCACUUUAUGAAUCUGACCUUUCAUCUCUCCAAGGAAGCAUGCAUGUCCUGCCUCUAGGCACCUUCUCUCUGCUAGCCUCCAUUCCUACCUUCAAGUCUGGUCCUCCUACCACAGUGGGAGAGAGAGCAAGGGAGGAGAGGAUGGGGUGUCGGGGGACAGGAGAGUAGUGGUGGGGGAGAGAAGACUGGGAAUAAUUGUCCUGGCAGACUUAACCUUAUAUGGGUAACACUGGAGUUCCUUAAAAGGAAAAUGUGUACAAGUAUUCUUAAAAUAUUUAUAAAAUCAAAUACUAUGCUGGGGCAAAGAAUACGGAUUUUCUCAUUUCACAAAAAAGGAAACUGGGACUCAGAAAGCAGAAGUCAACUUCUAUAGAAGCUAUACGAAUAAGACAUAAUCGUGCCCAUUUUAGAGAUGGAGAAAUGAGAGCCUCAGUUACUUCCUGGAGUAACAGGGGCAGAGCUACAAGCCUCUGGAGGCCAGGCCUGUUGUGGGGCUGCUACUAUAGGCAGAAGACUUUCUGUCUUGUACUGGAGUUAUCAGUGCUCAAGCUCCUUGAGCGCAGACCCAGUGAUCACUCGACACAGAUGCUCAAUGACAGUGCAAGAUAGUAGUCCUUUGAACACAUUUAUCCUCCAAAGUAAAGGCUCUCCAAGUGUUGCCAUGAAGCCCCACUGCAAAUUUCCCUUCUUUAUUUACCCCAGGCCUAGGAGAUGAAAAUCCCUCCAGGCAGCUAUUACUGCAGUGGAGGAAAACAACCCCCUACGAAGGAUUUGCCAGCGGAAAGAUUAACUGCUUUUCCAUAUUUUAAAGACUUACUGUCUGCUUAUUAACAUGGUUCUUCGGAGGGGUCUGGCCAAUGUUAGCUGUACAUUUAUGUGCACAACGUGUAUUUAUGGCCCAGGGUGCAGGGUUGAACUUCAUAAAACACACCUCCAUCCAGCUGGGCCCAGCAGCCAGACUGACAUCACUGUGCAGAGGAACCAUGGCCUGGGGGCCAAAAAAGGCGGAAGGGAAAUGCCUCAACAGAGAAUCACAGCGGUUGUUUCUAAGCAGGGAUAGGUCAAAACGCAUAAAAUAAAUUAGGUCCUCAAGGGAAAGAGUAUAGGGAAGAGGGAAACAAUUUUGAUGUGUCCAUUGCCAGAACUGAAAUAACCCAGUCCUCCCUUUUCCAUUCACGACAGACCGGGAAAGAACUAGAGAAAAAAAAGAUGAUGCAAUUUCAAGACAAUCUCCCUUGACAAGAGGGACUAUCUGCUGAAGAGGCUUUGCUGCCCAGAUGACGAAAGUGGUCAUGCUGUUCCCCUAAUGCUGCCUGGACAAGUCUUUGUGGUGGGGGUACCUAUGGCUAAGAUUCUCAGAGGACCCCAGGGUGUGCAUCUGGGGAACUUGGUUGGCUUUCUUUUCAUUAAUUGGGUACAAAACUGUGGCUUGACAGUGUUAGGAUUUUAAAGUCUUUCACGGUUUAUAGAUUUUUACCAUUUACAAAUUCUCCAUAUUUUAGCCAAAGGCUCCUAUUCUUGGAGUUCCUGUUGUGGCUUAGUGGUUGAUGAACUGAAACCCGAAUCUGACUAGCAUCCAUAAGGACACAGAUUUGAUCCCUGCUCUCAUUCAGUGGGUUAAGGAUUUGGUGUUGCUGUGAGCUGUGGUACACAGCUGGCAGCUACAGCUUGGAUUUGACCCCAGCCUAUGAACCUCCAUUUGCAUGCCCCCCCCCCAAAAAGGAUCCUAUCCUCUUUGGAGGUGGGUAGAUUCCUGUUUUUCCCCAACAUGCCCCCACAUGCUCUACACUGACCCAGACCCUUAGGUUGUGGAGAGCAAACAUUUGGUGAUGGACUGCUUACAUUUAAACUAGAAAUUAAAUAUUGAAGCUGUGUUUGAGUCCAUAGCUGUGCUAUCCUGCAGCAUGGGGGAGGCAAAAGGGGAACACUAGUACCGACUCCUGGCUGAGUUCAAACAAGGUGAAAGGAUGAUGAGCAGGGCCUUACUUGCUCACCCCAAAAGUGUCAGUCCCAGGAAAUUCCACAGGUGAAUCAUGUUAGCAUGUCAAGGCACAUGUAGUUCCAAAAUAUUUAAGUUGCUUUUGAGCACAAGGAAAGAAGGAAAUAUGUCAAAUUCUUUUAAGGGUCUUGAUAUGAAGCCUGACCAUGAUUAUACCAGAAAGACAGACAGACAGAAAGAAAAGAAAAAAAAGCCACAUAAUAAUCUCUUUUUAUGAAUAUUGAUGCAAAGAUCUUAAAUGAAAUGCAGCAAACAGACUUCAGUAGGACAUUGAAAUACAGCACACAGCAGUGAGGAUUAACCCAGGAAUGCAAAUGAACAACCUUAUUGAGUUGUCUCAGCUUAACAGAGAUAGAAACAUGAAACAGCUUUUUCUGAAGUCUCUUAUUUUUGAACCUACUGUAUUGAAUUCCUGUCUUCUCAUCUCUGAAUGAUGUUUUGUAUAGAUUCUCCAACUUUUUGAACAAUUGAUGUUAAUAAAAUUAGUCCAAUCUAGUUUAAUACUUUAAUUUCAUAUCUAGUUUGAAGCUCUACACUGUCCAUCCUUCAAGCUUCUGUUUUCUAGCUUUUUCAGUCAUUUGGGGCAAGGAAAAAAUGGAGCAGCAGAGGGAAGCAUUUCCUACUCACCAGGUCAUGGUGCAAUCUCUUAAUCAUAGCUUGUAACAACUUGGCCUUUGGUGCUCCCCAUGUGGCCAGGCAUCCAAACGCAGACUUUUUUGUGUGGUUAUCAUGAUUCUCCCAAAGACCUAGAGCUCCUCAGUGUGGCCCCAACAUGACCAUUCAUUGCAACUCUUGCCAUCAGCAGUCACUCCACAGCCUCUUGCCCUUAGUGUGGUUCUCCUGGAGAGCAGUCCUCGUGUUGCUUUAGGCAAGGUGGCCGUGAUCUUCCAUAUUGUCUACCUACCCUCUGGGAAACAGGCAUCUUUGCUGGCCCAGCCACAAGCUACUUUAGUGCUGCCCCUUCUCCAAACCUAGCCAUCUCCCUCCAGAUCUCUUUUUCCCUAUUCAGAUAGAACAUAUCAGCACUCCCGCCACCCAGAGGACACUGGCCCAGUGCUCAACUUCUCUUCUUUCAGAUACCUCCAAAAUACAGAAGGGAUUUGGGGAAUUCCCCACCAGGCCUCUGGCUCCCAGCAGGAAAAAAACACCCCCUGGAGGAAAACACCUCUUUCCAUAAACCUUGAUAUCUUCCCUGUUAGGCCCCUCAUCAGUCUUUGAGUGGCAGACUGAGGUGGGCCAGUUGUAGACCCUCCAAAACACUUAGGAGUGGGGGUCAUGAGGAUGGUUUCCACUCUAAAUUUGUGCCAGCCAAAUGCCUGCUCUCUUUAGAACCUACGAGCUCAGUACCAAUUUGUCCUCACUCAGUCGGGGGCUACAAGGAAAGCCCCACUUGACUUCCUGUUCACAUUCUUCCAGUAAAUCUAUUCAUGAAGGACACCCUGUCUAGAGGUGGAAGAGGCAGUGCUGUGGGAUCUGUCCAAUAGAUCCAAUAGAUGCUUAUAUAGCAUUUGACAAAAAAAAAAAAAAACCAUCCUUGAAAACAAUCCUUGAGAGAAUAGUAAUAGGCACUUGACUAUGAACCAAAUUUAGCAUCAGGCUGAGGAAUAAAUCAGAGGUGUCUAAUUAGAGUCGGAAGAAGGCAUGAAGGCUCUUUCUCCCCUCUAUUAUUCGUCAUUGUUCUGAAAAUGCCAGCCUCUGCAAUUAAACCAGAGAAACAAGGGAUGAUUAAAUGUUCAAACAAAGGAAGUAUUCGCAGGUAUCUAAAAUAUCCCCUUGUUCCCAAUCCCAAUAAUUAUUUCCCUUGGUCUCCUGUAUCUCUUAAUGGUCCCACCAUCUUUAGAGCCACACAGGCUAGAGAUCUUGAAGCAAUUCUCAAGCCUUUUCUCUGUAAACAUCAAUGUGUCCUGAUGUGACCAUUUCCUCAAUGUUUCCCAAAUCCAUCCUUCCAUCUACCAUGCCAAGGUCCAGCUUUAUGGACAGGUGACCAGUGCAGUUACACAGGAACCUACACUUAGAAAGGACUGUUACUUGGAGUUUACUGCUCUGCAAGCAGAGCAGUCUUAAAAUUUUUAAUUUUAUCUUUGAAUUUUCAUUCUAUAAGUGAGGUCCAAGGGGGCAUGGGAGGUGGGAGGUUCUUAGCUGCUGGGCUCCUGCCCUGGACCAGGCAACCUAUCGCCCUCCAACCCUGGCAAAGGUCUGGGUGCAGGUAUGAGGAGGAGCAAGGCAUGGUGGGAGCUGGCAGCACUAUAGCAUAUUCAGCCUGUGACCAGGGUGAACCUUUCACCUACCCCUUUAUCCAGGCACCAAGUAGGUCUUGAUGUUAAAAUGAAAAUCCCUUAGCAAUUGACCAUUCACUAUGAGAUGGGGGGGUGGACCUGUGGAGGGGAGAUCGAGU